rnacentral:rRNA from 1 species
UGCCACCUACGGGACGCAGCAGUGGGGAAUAUUGCACAAUGGGGGGAACCCUGAUGCAGCGACGCCGCGUGGGCGAUGGAGUAUUUCGGUAUGUAAAGCCCUAUCGGCAGGGAAGAAAAUGACAGUACCUGACUAAGAAGCCCCGGCUAACUACGUGCCAGCAGCCGCGGUAAUACGUAGGGGGCAAGCGUUAUCCGGAUUUACUGGGUGUAAAGGGAGCGUAGACGGCUGUGCAAGUCUGAAGUGAAAUGCCGGGGCUCAACCCCGGAACUGCUUUGGAAACUGUACAGCUAGAGUGCAGGAGG